rnacentral:rRNA from 1 species
UCAAGCUAAAAAGAGCGCAGGGUGGAUGCCUUGGCACUAAGAGCCGAUGAAAGACGUGAUAAGCUGCGAUAAGCUACGGGGAGGAGCACAUAUCCAUUGAUCCGUAGAUUUCUGAAUGGGGAAACCCGGCUGAGCAUACCUCAGUCACCGUGCACUGAAUCCAUAGGUGUACGGAGGGAACCCGGUGAACUGAAACAUCUAAGUAGCCGGAGGAAGAGAAAGAAAACUCGAUUUUCAAAGUAGCGGCGAGCGAAAUGGAAAGAGCCCAAACCGGAGUGCGUGCACUCCGGGGUUCGGACUGCAUUUAUGACUUCUGACUGUAGCGGAACGGUUCUGGAAAGACCGGCCAGAGAGGGUGAGAGCCCCGUAGGCGAAACGGAAAGAAGCAGAGCAGGAUCCAGAGUACCACGAGACACGAGAAACCUUGUGGGAAUGAGCGGGGACCACCCCGUAAGGCUAAAUACUCCUUAGUGACCGAUAGAGCAGAGUACUGUGAAGGAAAGGUGAAAAGGACCCCGGGAGGGGAGUGAAAGAGAACCUGAAACCCUGUGUUUACAAACUGUGGAAGUACCAUAUGAGUACAACCGCGUACUUUUUGUAGAACGGUCCGGCGAGUUACGUUUACUGGCGAGGUUAAGCACUUAAGGUGCGGAGCCGAAGGGAUACCAAGUCUUAACAGGGCGUAAAGUCAGUGUACGUAGACCCGAAACCGGGUGAUCUACCCAUGUCCAGGCUGAAGUUGCCGUAAAAGGCAAUGGAGGGCCGAACGCACAUCCGUUGAAAAGGGUGGCGAUGAGGUGUGGGUAGGGGAGAAAUUCCAAUCGAACCCGGAGAUAGCUGGUUCUCCUCGAAAUAGCUUUAGGGCUAGCCUCGUGUUAACCUUGUGGAGGUAGAGCACUGAAUAUCCUAGGGGGCGUCAAAGUCUACCGAAGAUUAUCAAACUCCGAAUGCCAUAAAGGUGAUGCACGGGAGUCAGACUGCACGAGAUAAGUUGGGUGGUCAAAAGGGAAAGAGCCCAGACCUACAGCUAAGGUCCCAAAGUGCGUGUUAAGUGGAAAAGGAUGUGGGAUUUCGAAGACAACUAGGAUGUUGGCUCAGAAGCAGCCAUACAUUCAAAGAGUGCGUAAUAGCUCACUAGUCGAGAGGUCCUGCGCCGAAAAUGUCCGGGGCUAAAACAUGACACCGAAGCUUAGGAACAGAAAUGUUGGUAGGGGAGCAUUGCUAGAGGAACGAAGCAGUACCGAAAGGAGCUGUGGACUUCUAGGAAGAGAGAAUGCCGGAAUGAGUAGCGAGAGUAAGGUGAGAAUCCUUACGGCCGAAUAUCUAAGGUUUCCAGAGUAAAGCUGAUCUGCUCUGGGUAAGUCGGGACCUAAGGCGAGGACGAAAGUCGUAGUCGAUGGAUAACAGGUAGAGAUUCCUGUACUCCGUAUAAACAGAACUGUGGGGACACGGGUGGAAAGCCUGACCCGGGAAUGGAAAGACCGGGACAAGCGAGGUACCUGAUAAGGAGGCAAAUCCCCUUAUCAAUGGGAAGACGUGAUGUGGAGCGAACCAAAGGGUAGCGAAGCAGGUGAGCCAGCCGUCGAGAAAAGCCGCUAUUGUUUUGUACGGACCCGUACCGUAAACCGACACAGGUGGAUGAGGAGAGAAUCCUAAGGCCGACGGGAGAAGCAUUGUUAAGGAACUCGGCAAAAUGACCCCGUAACUUCGGGAGAAGGGGUGCCUGAGGAAUCAGGCCGCAGAGAAUAGGUCCAAGCAACUGUUUAGCAAAAACACAGGUCUAUGCGAAACCGAAAGGUGAAGUAUAUGGGCUGACGCCUGCCCGGUGCUGGAAGGUUAAGAGGAGAGGUUAGCGCAAGCGAAGCUUUGAAUUUAAGCCCCAGUAAACGGCGGCCGUAACUAUAACGGUCCUAAGGUAGCGAAAUUCCUUGUCGGGUAAGUUCCGACCCGC